AAUAGAUACCCUGGUAGUCCACGCCGUAAACGAUGGAUGCUAGCUGUUAGGAGUAUCGACCCUCCUAGUAGCGUAGCUAACGCGUUAAGCAUCCCGCCUGUGGAGUACGGUCGCAAGACUAAAACAUAAAGGAAUUGACGGGGACCCGCACAAGCGGUGGAGCGUGUUGUUUAAUUCGAUGGUAAGCGAAGAACCUUACCCAGGCUUGACAUCCUGCUAAUCACUCCGAAAGGAGAGAGUGCCUUCGGGCCGCAGUGACAGGUGCUGCAUGGCCGUCGUCAGCUCGUGUCGUGAGAUGUUUGGUUAAGUCCAUCAACGAGCGCAACCCUUAUAGUUAGUUGUAUUUCUCUAGCUAGACUGCCCUGGCAACAGGGAGGAAGGAGGGGAUGAUGUCAGGUCAGUAUUACCCUUACGCCUGGGGCUACAAACACGCUACAAUGGCCGGUACAAAGGGCAGCCAACCCGGCGAGGGGGAGCAAAUCCCAUCAAAGCCGGUCUCAGUUCGGAUUGCAGGCUGAAACUCG
rnacentral:rRNA from 1 species